CAACUUUCAACAACGGAUCUCUUGGUUCUGGCAUCGAUGAAGAACGCAGACGAAAUGCGAUAAGUAGUGUGAAUUGCAGAAUUCAAUGAAUCAUCGAAUCUUUGAACGCACAUUGCGCCCUUUGGUAUUCCAAAGGGCAUGCCUGUUCGAGCGUCAUUU
rnacentral:rRNA from 1 species